GACGAACGCUGGCGGCGUGCUUAACACAUGCAAGUCGAACGGAAAGGCCCUGAGUUUGCUCCUCGCUCGUUAGCCGAGCACGUGAGUAACACGUGAGGAUCACCCACCUGUCUGAGUGGGAACAUCACGGGAAUCCGGAGCUAAUCCCGUAGAAGAUCUUGAUCCGUGGGGGUCGAUGGAAAAAGUCGGUGGUGGUGGAACGACUCGCGGGGUAUUGGCUGGUUGGUGGGGUAGCUGCUUACUAAGGCUACGAUGGGUAGCCGACGUAGGAGGGCGGUCGCCCACACUGGAACUGAGACGCGGUCCAGGCUCCUACGGGAGGCAGCAGUAGGGAACGGGCGGCAAUGGGGGGAAGCCUGACGGAGCAGCGCCGCGUGAGUGAUGAAGGUCCUCGGAUCGGAAAACUGUGUUAUGGGUGAAGAACAAAUUUGGAAGUAACUAAGCACGUCGUGACGGUACCUAAUCAGAAAGCAACGGCUAACUACGUG
rnacentral:rRNA from 1 species